rnacentral:rRNA from 1 species
GACGAACGCUGGCGGCGUGCUUAACACAUGCAAGUCGAACGGAAAGGCCCUGCUUUUGUGGGGUGCUCGAGUGGCGAACGGGUGAGUAACACGUGAGUAACCUGCCCUUGACUUUGGGAUAACUUCAGGAAACUGGGGCUAAUACCGGAUAGGAGCUCCUGCUGCAUGGUGGGGGUUGGAAAGUUUCGGCGGUUGGGGAUGGACUAGCGGCUUAUCAGCUUGUUGGUGGGGUAGUGGCUUACCAAGGCUUUGACGGGUAGCCGGCCUGAGAGGGUGACCGGCCACAUUGGGACUGAGAUACGGCCCAGACUCGUACGGGAGGCAGCAGUGGGGAAUAUUGCACAAUGGGCGGAAGCCUGAUGCAGCAACGCCGCGUGCGGGAUGACGGCCUUCGGGUUGUAAACCGCUUUCGCCUGUGACGAAGCGUGAGUGACGGUAAUGGGUAAAGAAGCACCGGCUAACUACGUG